rnacentral:rRNA from 1 species
UAGGGAAUAUUGGGCAAUGGGCGAAAGCCUGACCCAGCCAUGCCGCGUGAGUGCAGAAGGUCCUAUGGAUUGUAAAACUCUUUUCUGAGGAAAGAACAUCCGGGGUAGGAAAUGGCCCCGGCUUGACGGUACCUCAGGAAUAAGGAACGGCUAACUCCGUGCCAGCAGCCGCGGUAAUACGGAGGUUCCAAGCGUUGUUCGGAAUUACUGGGCGUAAAGGGAGCGCAGGCGGACGAGUCAGUCUGAAGUGGAAUCCCGGGGCUUAACCUCGGACUUGCUUCGGAUACUGCUUGUCUUGAGUUCGUGAUAGGAAGACGGAAUUCAGGGUGUAGCGGUGAAAUGCACAGAUAUCCUGAGGAACACCGGUGGCGAAAGCGGUCUUCUGGCGCGAAACUGACGCUGAGGCUCGAAAGCGUGGGUAGCAAACGGG